CCUACGGGGGGCAGCAGUGGGGAAUAUUGCGCAAUGGGCGAAAGCCUGACGCAGCGACGCCGCGUGAGGGAUGAAGGUCUUCGGAUCGUAAACCUCUGUCAGCAGGGAAGAACGGUCACUGUGCUAAUCAGCAGUGAAUUGACGGUACCUGCAAAGGAAGCACCGGCUAACUCCGUGCCAGCAGCCGCGGUAAUACGGAGGGUGCGAGCGUUAAUCGGAUUUACUGGGCGUAAAGCGCUCGUAGGCGGUAUGUCAAGUCAAGGGUGAAAGCCCCGCGCUCAACGUGGGAACUGCCUUUGAAACUGGCAAACUGGAGUGUGUGAGAGGAUAGUGGAAUUCCAGGUGUAGGAGUGAAAUCCGUAGAUAUCAGGAGGAACAUCAGUGGCGAAGGCGACUAUCUGGCACAUAACUGACGCUGAGGAGCGAAAGCGUGGGUAGCAAACAGGAUUAGAUACCCUAGUAGUC
rnacentral:rRNA from 1 species